rnacentral:snRNA from 1 species
GUACUUACCUGGCAGGGGUAAUAACAUGAUCACAAAGGUGGUUUUUCCACAGUGAGACUAAAUUUAUGCUGACCUCUGCAAUUUCCCCAGAUGUGGAAAACUCUAUUCCAUAAUUUGUGGUAGUGGGGGACUGUAUUCACACUCUCCUCUG